rnacentral:snRNA from 1 species
GUGCUUGCUUCAGCACAAGAAAAUUGGAAUGAUACAGAGAAGAUUAGCAUGGCCCCUGCACAAGGAUGACACAAAUUCGUGAACUGGCCCAUGUUUCU